UGCAUCUCAAACACACAGCCCAAGGCCACCGCCCAGCCCAACCUGACACCCCAUCUCUGAAAGAAGCUGCUUCCAUCUGGGGACACCUUUGGCCAUCUUUAGUUGGCACAACUCCCAGCUUGGGACACUGGCUGGGGCCUAGAAGCAACAUCAAGGUACCUAUAGUCCCCAAACUACCCCCUCUCCUAUAGCCACUAACCCAGCACAGUGCUUGCAGCUACAUGGCUGGUGUGUAGCUUGCAAAGCCUAGUCCCAAACUUCCCAAGGCAAAACAGCUCUCCAUGACAGGGGUCAGCCCCCAGAGUGCAGCUCACAAGACCUUGGGAGAGAGAGGCUCCUGAUCCAGAAGUAGAAAAGAAGGGGGUGAGUGAGAUACAGUUUAGAGGCUAAGGUAGAGACUAGGAAUUGUGAGGUCUACAGGUGAUAUAAGGAGAUAAGACCAGAUUCCCACAUCACAAGAGCAGGCCCCAAAGGAGAUCACUGGGGUGCAGUCUCCCAACAGAGACUGACAUGUACUAUACCCCACCUCAAGGAGUUUCACCACCCAAACUAACCCUCCUACCCCUAUAACAUUCAUCACCCUGAGAGUGGAGAUACCACAAAUCAACAGACACCCUCACGUAUUGGAUGAAAAGGGAAGCAGGAAAGAUACUGAACUCUAACAGUAAAGAAUUCUUUUAUUUUCCUUCAGUAUUUUUUUCUGUUUUCUCUCUCUCUUCUCCCUCCUUCACAUCCCCAACAUUGGCAAAACCAAAUACUUUUCAUGGAUUAGGCUACUGAGGAUUGGGAUGUCUGAAUAGUAUGUUACAGUUCUCUUGUAGAGUCUUUUAUCUCCUAUUUUUUUACAUUUUUAAUUUUUCUCAUUUUUUUUGUACUCUCUCUAUUGUCUUCCCACUAACUUGUCUACCCUCAAAUCACUUUCUGUCUUUUCUAUUGCUGCUAGCCAACUUCUUUGAUUCCUCUUUUAAACUGCUAAGAUCUAAUAACUCUAUAGCCUCACAUGCUACCUCCUUAAUGUCUCAUCCCACAUUCCACCUCUGGUUCUCUCUUUGUCCACCAUCAGAAACUGUAGACCCUUUUGCAAACCUCCUAUUUAAAUUGCACAUAAUAAGUGAACUCACCAUUUCUGUAUAUUGUGACAAAACUGCAUGACAAUGAAGAAUCUUAUAUGCAGCAAGAUUAAGCUUUAGAUUUGAUGAUGAAAUAAAAACUUUCCAUGACAAACAAAAGUUAAGAGAAUUUACAAAUAGAAAGUGUGCACUACAGGGGCUGGGGAUGUGGC
rnacentral:lncRNA from 1 species